AAAUUAUUUUGAGUAACAUACUGUUUGUGCACUUUGAUCUAGGUCUUGUGUAUAACCUGACAGCUGUCAAUCUACCCAUUUGGAAUAGAUAUAUUUUCAUAUCCAGUUGGCCUGGGCCAUCUAGGUUUUUUCCUCAGUAUUGUUAGACAAGCUGGUCUUCUCUGCUGAGCGCAAGGUUGGGUUUGGUAUGUUUUAUAAUCUGUAGUAUGUAUAAGUGGAAAAACAUCUUAAAUGUUUAUUCUUUGAAAUGAAUGGGAGUGUUUGGUGAACAGUCGCUGAUUCAGGGUUCCAAACUCAAUAAGAAGUUUCAAAUUCAGAAAUACCGAGUAAGAAAUGGAGUAAGUAAUUAAUUCUUGCCAGGUUUAAAAUCAUGAGCGUAUGUGGCUAAGGACCACGUCUGAGUGGCAGGUUAUAGCCGUCACUCCAGAGGAAGCUGAGGAAUUAUACAGCCUUGGAGGAAUGGCUUUCUAGGUACAUGGUGUUGCAAUGUGUUUGAUAUAUGUGUGUGACAAAGCUCAUUGUUGAUUCCACCAUGUGGUUGGCAUAUACCCUUUCAGAUAACUGUGAAUGCUGCUCUUUCUUAUAAUAAUCUAAUUUAUAACUUUUUUAGCUCUUAGUUGUCUUAAGAUGAUCUUUUUAGGUGUGUCUUUAGGAGUGUCACAAGUUGAUGAUGCGCUUUAAAACUUCGUUUUGGUAAAACAAGGAGAAUGGGGAAAAACUCAUACAUCUAAGAAGAAAUUAAUUUAUAGCUAUGUGUGUUACAGGCAAUCGGCUGAUACAGUGAAAUAGCACACCCUGUAAUCAGUGAGUCAUAUGUGCUGAUACAAACCAUUUAUAAAACAAUGAUCAAACAGAACAGUCCACAUAAAUACCGAAGACCAACCCGUAACUCCCUCUGAUAGCAUUCACAUCAGUUCCAGGAGUGAUUCAAACUGCAUUUUUCAUUUCUUCGUUUUGUUUAGCGCUUUACACUUUCUCUACCGACGUGCCGGUGUCUGGGUUUGCGUGCCCUGGGGCUUUGGAGGUGUUCAGAAUGAGACUGUGGUGCAGAGCCAGCAUGAGGCCAGCCUUAACAAGCCCGACAGACAUUGGUGCUGGCAGGUGCUGGAGGUGGAGAAGACAAGCUGCGGUCCAUGCCCUCAGGAGCCCACACUGACCAUCUGACCUGGGUUUCUAAGGACCAGGGGAAGCAGACUUUGGUGUGAACCAUCUCCUGAAAAAUGCCCGGGAAUUGUCUCCAAGCAGUCCAAACAAAGCCAGCUGUCAGUUGAAUGAUGUGGAUGAUGAGGGUCCACUUCUCCAGCUUUGAUUUACAGUGACACAGCACCCUUGUUUACUGACGGUGCUCAGCCCUGGACAGUGUACUUCACCAAAGCCCAAAGCAAGAGCCAUUUGUCAGCAGAGUUGAAAGUGGUGAGUUGCUUCAGAGCUGUGGUGCGGUGGGGAAGCGAAUCCCCCUUGUGCUGCUGUGUUGGUUUGGGUCACAGAGCAUUUUUGGUGUGUGCAAACAAGAAUUGUACAGGAGGAAAUACAAGUGGAAGUUCUGCUCUGUACCUCGUGGCAUAAUUUCCCCGGCCUCCAAAAUCCAACCCUUUCAAAGCAACUCAUAAGUUAAAUGAAGAUUUCUGCAUUUCAAGGUAAAUCGCAUCUUAUUGUUUUGCAUUUAGCAAUUUGCUGUACUUUGUUACUCAUACCAAGGUGGGGAAAAAUCUUCCUCUUCUAGUGAUGUUUUAAGACUCAGCAGAGGGAAGGGAUGAUGGCAAUCACGUGGGCUUAGCUGUGGAUGUAGCAAGUGUUUCUGGUUUUACCUGGUAGAAAUGUCUGGGGAUCCCAAGGGGCAGAAGGCAUUCCUGCCCAAGCCCAGAUUAAUUCCAUGGCAUUCAAGUGGCCAGUUUUCUUUAUGUUCGUUUGCAGAUCCCACUAUAAUAAUAGUAACUGCUCGCAGUUGUGUAACACCUUUAUGAACUUCAUAAAGGACCAUUGAAAUAAUUCAUUUGUGGAUCACCACCAGGCAAAACUCUUAAUCAAUUUGUCCAUUUUUGGAAGCUUCUAAACAGCCUUUUCCUUCUUAUUUUUCUGAGCAAAACUCACUUUCAUGAAACCUGCUCGAGAACCUCUGAGUUUUAGACCAGAAACAGAAAGAGAUAUAUCAACAGCAACUUUCAUUUGGAUCACAUCUCAGCAGGCAGGUUGUUCUAUAAAGUUAAUCCAACCUGGGUUGUUCCAGCAGGCUGGAAUGUCUUUUUCAUAAAGGGAAGUUAAUCAACCUGUUUCAGCUUUUCAGAUUAGAAGCUGACUUCCUCCAGCCUUCCCCGAUGUAUGGUUCACAGAUAGAGAGCUUGAUUAUUUAUCUUUUACAUCUGGACAACUGUUAUUUACAUAAGUGUAAAUUGUAAAUUCACAUUAAGCUAAUAUAGUUUCAAUGACAUGACAGUGAUCAAAACAGGAAGGCUCAGAUGUAUCCCUUGUUGGGAAUUCAUACAAGGUUUGGUUUCUUAAGGUUAGCGAUGUGCAUCUCCUUUACUAAAGGAGACAUUCCACCUUCUAGAGUUAAUUUGCACCUCCCUUUUCAACAUGUUUCUCUUAGCUAUUGAUCAAAAUAUUUGCACUGUUGUUGUUAAUACUCCAGCAGGGCCAAAUUUUUCCCCAGUGCAUUUUUUCUUCACUGGCUCCUUUGGAAUGGUGUCAGGAAUGAACUUGUUUCAUUGUUUGUUUCCAGUUAUUUCUGGGAUCACGCGUACAAUCCCCACAGAGCCUUUCUUAAUUUUUCUCUUAGGUAAAAUAAUUUUCUUGCUUGCUGUUACACAAUGUGUCGUUUGCUUCACUUUUAUUGAAACUAUUUUGCUGGCUUUCACACAUUUUAUACAGUUGUUACUCUGCUAUUGGAGCUUGCUUGCUUUAACAAAGAAAAUGGCUGGCAAAGCAUUCUAAAAAAACCUAAGGUGUUCAGUAUAACACUGUUGAACUUCUCUAACAAUUCUUUCACUGGUGGGCUCUCCAGGCCCCUCACAUUAAUGCUCUUGCAGGCUGUAUGGAGGUGCUGGGCCAGUGGCCCAUGUGGUGUUUCUGUUGGCCUUGUAGAUGUAUUUUGGGGAUCACCAGUCUCUAUAGCAAUAUGCACAAGCAUUUCCAUACCUUCCACUAAUAUUUAUAGAGAACUGUUUUUCCUCUUCUCACUAUAUGAAAAAAUGGACAGUACUCAUGGUUUCCAGUGCUAUUCCUUAUCCAUGUCACCCUGCAGACUUUGGCUUGUCAGCCUCUGUGCUUGUACUUUUAUCUCCUCAUAGCUUCUAAGGAGUGCAGGAUUUUUGGGGUGCAUGCUCAGGUCCAGAGGACACUUGCUUGUGCAUCUUUUUCAGUCUUCCCUUUUCCUUUCCUUUCCCUGGGCUCCUGGCAGACCUUUGAACAGUCAAAGUCAAAAUAGCCAGCUGAAUGUCCACAAAAUUCCCUGAUUGCUGGUGAUGACCCUGUUUGUACCAGCCCCAUUCCUGCUGAUGAGAAAUGUUUCCAUGGAGGGUGAUAACUGUGGAAUGAACCAGUGCGUGUUUGGAUCACAGACAGCAGAGCCAGGCGCUGUGGAAACUCUCAGCCCUUUUUGUGGAGGUUUUCCUGUUGUGCCUUGGACCACGUGGCCCCCUGGGACAAGCCACUGCAGAGCUCCUCAGAUGCCGAGACAAGGUGGGCAGGGGACCUGGUGGCUCUCGUGUCCCUUCCUGGGGCAGAGCUGAUGCUGCCCUUCCCUGUGCACAGUGAACCUCAUAGCAGCCCGGCUUGUGGCUUCUGCCAAAAGCUGCUGCAGCUCUGGAGAUGGCCCUUGGGGUGGGAUUAGGAGGGAUGUGCAGCACUGUCCCCUCUAGCCCUGAGACAAUCUGGAAAGCCUAUGGAGAAGUUUUCAUAGCGUGGCUGGACUAGGUCCUGGGUGACCUGGUAUAUAGCCCUGGUGGUAGUGUUGCUUCAGUUGUGGGGCUGAACUACAGACCACUGAAAGUCCCCUCCAGCUGAUGUUUCUGUGAAUCUGUGGCAAGGGCAUCAAACUCAGUUUCACUGGGGGCCACAUCAGCCUCGCGGUUGCUUUUGAAGGGCAUCCUAAAAUUACAUUUGGCCCUUUGAAGGCAACCAUGAGGCUGAUGUGGCCCCUGGUGAAAAUGAGUUUGACACCCCGAUGUAAAGCAUUUGUUUUGUUGGGAAACCAAGCAGACAAUUAACCAAUGUAGCAAAUAAAUAAAUAAUAAGAACAGAAAAGCUACAGUGUGGAGUAAAGCAGAACCAUCAAGGAAGAAAUGAGAUGAGGGAAUGUCCAGAUGUUGUGCAAUAAAUUCUAAUGACAGAUUUAGGCAGAAAAGAAAGAGACCAAAGACAAUGGGCCUUUCAGCAUGUUAAGGGAAAUUAGUUAUUUAUUGAAGUAAAUGUUGAAGUUAAUGGGACUUUACAGCAAGAAGAUUACAGCAGCAUCUGUCAAAAGUUGCAAUGACAGACAUGGUAGGAAAACAAUAGCCAAGAGAGGUGGAGGAGAAACAGAAAUGUACGAUAGCUGGAUCAGCUGUAGGAUGAAAUGGAUGAAACAUGAGAAGGUUGUAAAGCUUAUUUUUUUUUACAGCUGUUCUCCAAAAGUGAUGUCUCAACUUCAAAGACCUGUAUCUUUGAAGACAGAUCAUUUUAGCUAACAAGUCCUUGAAAUGUUUCUGUAGAAUUGACAUAAAGGCAAAUCCCCGUUGAGAUGCUCCUGUACAACCUCUGUAGACCAGCUCCAGGGAGGUGGCGUCCUGCUCUGCAGCACAGGGUGGUGACCUAGAGUGCUAGCUGGCUUGUGGUGCCAACAUGUCACACUGUGGGUCAUUGCCUGCGGGCACUGGUUGUGUUCCAAGGACAAAAAGCUUUCUGAGAGCUACAGCCAGGAAGAGUGGAGCAAAUGUUCAACAAUUACGGGUAAGGAAGGGAGAGAGACUGUGGCUUUUCCUCUUCCACUUGUGGGCAGAGGGUGGAGUCAUUCAAGAUGCAUUCUUGGUGUUAUUUUGGACCCCAAGAAGGCUGGGUUUCCCUCCCUCUCCCUCUCCCUCGCCCUCUCCCUCUCCCUCGCCCUCUCCCUCGCCCUCACCCUCUCCUCCCUUCCCCUCUUCUCUCUCCCCUCUCCCCACUCUCCUCUCCCGUCUCCCCUCUCCC